AUUGAACGCUGGCGGCAGGCCUAACACAUGCAAGUCGAGCGAGCGGCGGACGGGUGAGUUAUGUCUGGAACUUCCCCAGUCGAGGGGGAUAACAGUUGGAAACGACUGCUAAUACCGCAUCCGAUGGUAUUCCACAGGGGGGAUUAGCUAGUUGGGGGGGUAAUGGCUCACCAAGGCGACGAUCCCUAGCUGGUCUGAGAGGAUGACCAGCCACACUGGAACUGAGACACGGUCCAGACUCCUACGGGAGGCAGCAGUGGGGAAUAUUGCACAAUGGGGGCAACCCUGAUGCAGCCAUGCCGCGUGUGUGAAGAAGGCCUUCGGGUUGUAAAGCACUUUCAGCGAGGAGGCGUUACUCGCAGAAGAAGCACCGGCUAACUCCGUGCCAGCAGCCGCGGUAAUAC
rnacentral:rRNA from 1 species